rnacentral:sRNA from 1 species
CCAGCCGAGAAGAAAAGCCUGAACAGGCGACCAUUCCUCAUCUCCCAACAGACUUCAAUUCACCCACGCACUUCACGCACUUCUCAAGCAUUCUCUUGAUUCCUUUGUCUGACUACCUAUGGACGGAAUCGUCAAUUACGCUGGUGCAGAGAAUUGAACAGUGGGAAGAAACGAAGUUGAACCAACCGAACCCUCCACCUCCGCAACGGUCCAUAGAGUGGGCAUGCAGUUGGCACAGCCAUUAAGAAGGGAGUGUUCGCGAAUUCCCAGCACGAAAAACAGGGAUAGGAAGAAUUAAUAGGAGAGGUGGAUUGCGCCGUGUUUGACCUUGAGCUUCCAUCGGCAACUUCCAGCGUUGACCCUGCGAUUACCAGCAUCCAGCAGAACCCUCAACAGGAAGGGAAAGGGAAACCCCGCAUCCAAUUCUUUCUUUCUAAGCCCCUAGCAACAAAUGACUAAAUAAUAGGAUCCUCUCACACAAAUACCUCAGAAUUUGCGCUGAAGGAAGCGUUCUCUCACACGCCUAUCCCGCACACCCGCCAUCCCUCCGUUUUCACAUACCUGCUAAAAUCAUGAUCAGUUCCGGGUUCACCAACGCGCCGAUUUCGAAAUAUGUGAUGGUCUUCAUAAUUGCUUCAUCGAUUGUUGUCAGCAUUGUGGAUGUGAAAUAUUUAUUAUAUAUACAGGUCGUGCCACAUCUAUGGAAAUAUUGGCAAGUAUGGAGACUAGGAGUUUGGCAGCUAUCCUACACGAAUUCGACAGAAGUACUCUUUGGAGCACUGCUCAUUUAUCAGCUCAGAGUGAUCGAACGGUUAUGGGGAUCUAGGAAAUUCGGCAGCUUCCUCAUAAGCACCUUACCCUACACAGCCCUCCUCCCACCGCUCAUCCUCUCCUUCCUCCUCCGCCCUCUCUCCCUCAACACCCUAAACUUCCUCCCCGCAGGCCCAACAGCCAUCCUCUUCGCGCUCCUCGUCCAAUUCUACUCCGCAAUACCCCCCGCAUACAAAUACCGCAUCACCGCCCCGACCACCGCCUUCGCAUCGUCCCCAACAGCAACCACACCCUCGAUCAACGUCAGCGAUAAAUCCACCACCUACCUCCUGGGCGCGCAGCUCGCCCUCUCCCAGUUCCCCCACUCUCUCGUCUCCGCCGCCGUAGGCUGGGCUGUCGGUUACGCCUGGCGCUCGGAUAUAUUACCUGGCCGUGCGGCCGCGUGGAGGGUUCCCGGCUGGGUCUAUGGAAACACGUCCGUCGAUGCGGCGGCGCGGGAGCACAGGCGGGCACCAGAGGGACGUGCGCCUGAUGGCGUGGAUGGCCACAGUUCUGCUAGAUUUGGCGGCUGGCGGCGGUGGGCCGGGUUGCGGGCGGUGGUGGGAAGGACAGGGGGGGAUGCAGAGAGGUUUGAGGGGAUGAGGAGACGGUUGG